rnacentral:RNase_P_RNA from 1 species
GGAGUAGGCGAGGUGGUUGCUCCUUCUUCUUCCAAGAAGGGAGGAGAGGAAAGUCCGAACUCCGCAGGGCAGGAUGGUCGCUAGCAGCGACUCCGAGCAAUCGGAGGAAAGUGCCGCAGAAAACAAACCGCCUUAUGAAAAAUCAUUUUCAUAGGGUAAGGGUGAAAAGGUGAGGUAAGAGCUCACCGCCCUGGUGGUGACAUCGGGGGCAGGGUAAACCCCAUCCGGAGCAAGACCCAAUGGUCCCUCAAAGAGAUGGCCCGUCUCAGGAGGGCGGGUAGGUCGCUAAACUCCUUGAGCAAUCAUGGAGGCAGAGAAAUAACCACCCCCGCCUUGUAAGGUGGGAACAGAAUUCGGCUUACGUCCUGCUCCAGCC